CAAAAAACAAAAAACAAAACAAGAACCAAAAAAAACACAUAAAAAACAAACAACAACAACAACAAACGAAACCUCUAAUCACAGGUCAGUUUUACUGUUUCUCAGGUCCAGACUCGUUCUGUGCUGUUGGCAGGGUAUCCUGCAGUGGCCACUCCUGUCUUACUAACAGACCCUGAUUUUGUCCACAGGAUCAACACACCCAGCUAAAACAGCUCAACUUCCUCAUCACACAACACAGUUCUGGCCAGUUAGACACACGUCCCCGGAAAGGGCAUCUCCAGGAGAAUAAAAAGGCCAAGCCACUUUUUGAAGAAAGUCUUUGUCCCUACCCCCUUUUUCUACCUGGAAGUCAGACUCAGGCCUGGAGUGUAGCGGCCGCCUUGGUACCUGGAAGCAACAAUCAUGGCCGGGAGACCUUACACCUGGCAUGGUAGAGCAGACGGAGGAGGGGCCGCCUGGUGAAUAGCCUGGCCAACAGCCCCAAACUGCUACCCCUUAAAUUCUGGAUUUCAGGUGACUGCUGUAACUUGAAGCAAGAAAAGUGAAACUACAGAAAAGGGAGGACCACUGGACGGCUGCUUUCAUUCUACGCCCACUUUUUAGAGUGCAUUCCUACAAUAAGCACCCUAAUAAUGUAAACCAGGGGCCAAGGGAUGCACCUUCCACUCUACUUCCUUCCCCAGAAAAGACCACCUUGGUAAAUACAGAAUGGCAAACGGUUAAGUGAAACACUGUAUAGCUUCUGGCCCUAUACUUAGUAUUUCUUAACAUUUACACAGCAUUUUCACAUUUCCAAAGCAGAGUACCAACAUUUAUUAAUCCUCACAACACCCCUGUGAGGUAGGUCAGUAUGUCCUUUAGAGUCGAGAACUGAGGCAGAGGUCAAGCAAACCUGCCCUGGGCCACAGAGCAGCAGAUGAAGGGCCUAGACCUGGAUCCAGAAGCUAGGGCUCUCGGUCCAGCAUUCAUCCACUGGUGGACAUCACAUGGGCUUAUUUUUACCAGCGAAGGUUACGUGAAGGACAAAACGCACUCAGCCAGCAACGGAAACUCAACAGUUCAAACAGCACUGGGGAACAUGUCAGUUAAAGAGACGAAACGCUGACCAGCUCAUGAAUGAGGCAAGACAACAUGCGGCUGAGGAAGUGUGGAAUCAUCACGACUGGGGAUUAGACCAAGAACGGGCGCUCAGGAGGGUUCAGGAAAAUGUAAACAAACUAGGAACCCAUCCAAGGGGUGACAGGCCCAAAUGCCUACGGUCU